rnacentral:rRNA from 1 species
CGGAGGGUGCAAGCGCUAUCCGGAUUCACUGGGUUUAAAGGGUGCGUAGGUGGGCUGAUAAGUCAGUGGUGAAAUCUCUAGGCUUAACCUGGAAACUGCCAUUGAUACUAUCGGUCUUGAAUCUCGCGUAGGUAAGCGGAAUAUGUCAUGUAGCGGUGAAAUGCUUAGAUAUGACAUAGAACACCAAUUGCGAAGGCAGCUUACUUCACGAGUAUUGACACUGAGGCACGAAAGCGUGGGGAGCAAACAGGAUUAGAUACCCUGGUAGUCCACGCCCUAAACGAUGGAUACUCGACAUCAGCGAUACACUGUUGGUGUCUGAGCGAAAGCAUUAAGUAUCCCACCUGGGAAGUACGACCGCAAGGUUG